UACCUCAUCCACUAGACCAUUCUGCUUCUCCGGGAAGAUCCCUGCCCUGCCCUACUCAGCUCGUAGGAGCAGGGGAGCAACCGCCCAGCUGCCACGAUCCUCUGACUGUGCUCUGCCCGCGCUCCCAUUUCUCGUCCUUUCCCCAGCCGUCUGUUGGAACUCCAGAUCUCCGCUACACGAUAACGGCAUCCGUGGGAGGAAGGAGCCGCGACCGAAAACACAAGGAUCACAGCAGCGGAGAACACAGGCUAGGCUCCGUCCAUACUGUCUCAGGCUAGGCCUCGUCAUUUCACCCCAGACGGCUCUAGAUGGCUCCAGGAGAGGAGUGAAUCCUUCCGAGAUGGCAGAUGGGCUCUUCCUAACUGACCUUCCUCAAUUAUCUUAAAGCCUGCAAAACAUAGUCUGCCAAUGUGAGAAUGAAUGACCUUUGUUUCAACAUUUAAAGAAGGUAGGGUGAGAGUUAAAGCUUUAAAAAAUGUUAAGGCUCCUCAUUCUAAUGCCAAACUUGUUUAGAUUUACUAAGAGUGGGACUGUACACCCUAGACACCUGCACACGCUUCUUAUCCACCUUUGUCAUGCUACAGAAACAUCCCAAGAUUUCAGACUUGAUCAUCUUCGAUACUCCCAGGUGGUAUGUACUUUAAAUGCUGCGAGGAAUAUAUGCAUUUUGGAGCUGUGAAUUAAGUUUGGACAAAGAAAUGAGUUCUGAGGUUUUUGCUCUUAAGAAUUGUCUAUAUUUCCUUUUCUUUUUUUGGAGUCAAUCACUAGGAUUUGAUUUCCUUAGUCACCUUACUCUUCCAUUCUUUUGUGAUUUUCAGACCAAGGUUUGAAAUGAUUUCCCUAGGAUUUAAUCUGUGUUUUCUGAGAAACACAAAUCUCAGCUUCUUAGGCAACAGAGGGAAAAAAUGCUGAGGAAGGCCGGCUUGGUUCAGUAGUCCUGUUUACUGAACGGAGCGCAGUGAGUUCCCAGGCAGAAGUGAAGCUGUUUGGCUCACAAUGCAGUGAUUUUAUUUGCCUGAAAAGGGAACUUGCAAAAUGCCCUCCUUCCCAGCCUGGACCUUAAUCAGCCUGACUCUGCCUUUGAUGCCCGCUUGAGAUUUUAAUCGAUCCAAAUAAGAAAGCAAAGAAUGAUGUUUCCAUAUGAACUUUAAUUUUUGCUCUCCAGAAAUCUAAUUCCAUUGACUGUAAUUUUACUAGAUCUUCAGGAAUAGAUCUGUUAGAAGAACGGAUAAUUAUCCUAUAUUUCACUACAGAAAGCCAAAGGGUUAAGGGUGGAUUGUAAGGAAUUGAUCUGAAUCACUCUCUAUGUAGUUGAAGUAUGAAUGUAAAUAAAAUUGUAUAAGUCAAAUUUACUUCUGGCCUGGUCAGAACAUGAAGUGCUCUUUUAAAUCUACAGCGUAGAUGAUGAUGAUGUUUUCUAUUUGUCUCAGUAUCUUAUAUUUGCCAAAAUGAAAACUGUGACUUUAGUUGUUUAAUUUUUUAGAUAGAAAGUAGGUGUUUCAAUCCAAAAAUUCUGAAAUUUGCUGUUUUGAAAUUAUUGGCUCUUAGCUACUAAAUAAAUAUUUGGACACCCUUUUUACCUCAAAGUAACCCCAUUUUCCAAGAACUGAAAAAAGUUUAACUGCAGGAAGGUUUUUUUUUUUUUCCUGUUACUAAAUAACAUCUGAACAACAGGAUGUUCCUUUUAAUGUUGUCUGAGAGCAGGGGCUGUUAUCAGAAGAUAAACUCUAACCUAAAUUGGCUGGUGAGUGGAAUCCCUGAAUCCAAAGACAUUAAUUGAGAUAAAGAGGGAAGGAUGCCUUUUCUCCAACGAAAGUCGCUCAUUUAGAACCAAAACAGCUACUAUGAAUAUAAUCUGGCUCUGAUUGUGACAGGAAGCAAACGAUCUUCAGGAAAAGAUCAUGGUGCGACAUUCCAAUUAUGUCAUAGCAAAAUUAACUAAUUCACUGAAAUCCAGUGUUUUGAUCCCAAGCAGGAAAACCAGGAUUUGUAAAGGUCCGGGCUUAUGGAAAUUCUCUGGCAGUGCAGCAGUAGCUGAUCUUAAAGAAGGCCUGUGGGCUACUGGAAACCAACAAUGGACAACUCCCAGGAAGCAACUUUAUCCUCGAACCCGGAUCCCGGGGGAAAUUUCGGGGACAGUGAGAAGACAGAAGAGGCUCUUCCCUGCAUGGCUGCCCCUCUCACACCCUCAAGAGAAUAAGGAGGCAGGGAAAGAGCUUAUUCCAGAAUGACCCGCACCCACUCAGCCUUUUGAGAUGCACACAGGGAGGCUUAUGCUGGCUGAACUCUACAAGAAAAUAUAAAUAGAGCCUGAGUAGACUGUAAGCUCGUUAGGGGCAAGGAAUAUGUCUGCUAAUUGUGCUGUACUGUACUCUCCCAAGUGCUUAGAACAGUACUCUGUUCAUAGUCGGCGCUCAAUCAAUACCUUUGCUCGAUUGAUUACCUGCAGUUCUCUGCUAUUUUUUUGGAAAGAAGGUAUAUAAAUUAAUGGAUUUUUUGGAAAAUCCUGAAUAUUCUGUUUUCCCCACAGAAUCAGGCAUUGCAGUGAAACCAUGCCUCCUUUUACAUUUUGGAUAUGAGCACGCGUGUGGAAGAUAAAGCAUGCCUCUUGCUUGGAUGGCUAAUUUCUUAUCAUUUCUUUUCCAUUUGAAAUAAAAGUUUCCAAAGUGAGACUCUCCGUUUUGUAUUUGAAGUCUUUCUCAGUCAAGCUCGAAUGCAAUUAAAUCGUUUAAUUCACUCC